UACGGGGGGGGCAAGCGUUGUUCGGAAUUACUGGGCGUAAAGGGUUCGUAGGCGGCCAACUAAGUCAGACGUGAAAUCCCUCGGCUUAACCGGGGAACUGCAUCUGAUACUGGAUGGCUUGAGUUCGGGAGAGGGAUGCGGAAUUCCAGGUGUAGCGGUGAAAUGCGUAGAUAUCUGGAGGAACACCGGUGGCGAAGGCGGCAUCCUGGACCGACACUGACGCUGAGGAGCGAAAGCCAGGGGAGCAAACGGG
rnacentral:rRNA from 1 species